rnacentral:misc_RNA from 1 species
AAGUCGUAACAAGGUUUCCGUAGGUGAACCUGCGGAAGGAUCAUUAACACGUAUCCAAACGUUAAAACCCCCCCCCGUGAACCUUCAUCCUGCUCUUGUAACCCGCGAAGCUUGCAAUCUCUGGUAAAUCAUAGCCCGGAAAGUAGUUUGAUUCAGAGACCUCUGGCCCGUGCGAACCAAGAUAUCCAUUGUUAACAGUUGUUCGGUUUUUUUACCCAAUGUAUUACAUUGAGCUUCACAUUAAACUGUGGGGUUAUAAGGGGGCAUGGGGACCCUUUGGCAUAGCUCCUGCCCGAGUGUACGGUCUGCAGGAAUCGUGAAGCGCUAUCCUUGCACAAUCAAUGACACUUUCAGACACUGACUGCUUGGGGAAACAAUGCCUAUAGAACUACCGCAGUCGAUUGUAACUGUUCCAAUAUGGUUCUC